UAGAUAUGCAGUCCAACUUUAAACGCCAGCGCAGCGGCAGCGGUAGCUUCGACGGCCGCGGCCGUCGCGGCCGUGGUGGCGGCGAUCGCUGCGACAGCUUUCGUGAUCGUGACCACAGCGCAGCUGGCAUGUCUAGCAGCUCCAAGUGGUCCGGUGGGUAUCGACCGCAAGUCGCGGACGAGUCCAUUCCGCGGCCGCACCUGCCCGGCGAGCGCACGCGUGGCGGUCGUGGCGGCCGUGGGGGCACUGGCAGCGUUGGGACCCGUCCCUUCUCCUCGUCUCUCACCAAGUCUCGCUUCUCGUCGUCGUCACAAUGCCCCGGCACUGCUGCUGCUGCUUCCUCGUCUCGAGGUGCCCGCCCCACGGGCAACGAUCCUCGCAACACCAGCGGUAGCCGCAGCAGUGCCGCAAAGCCGCGUGAUAUUGUCGUCAUCCUAGAGAAGGCCGGCAUUCUGCUGGGCAACAUGGGUCUUGUAGACGCCUACGACAGGGCGGCGACGACCGAGAUCGCCAACGAGUCCCUGAAAGACGUGCGACCCGACAUUGUUCAUCAGUGUCUCCUCGCCCUCUUCGACUCUGACCUCGCCUACCAGCACCGACUGCGCGUGUACAUUAGUCUCUUCGUGCGGCAAGGUAAGGUGAUCGAGGUGUCGCCGGCGUUGAGGCCGCCGCGCACGUACGCGCGUUUCCGCGGUCUCAUGUCUGCCCUGCUCCGUGAUGGACGUAUCUGCUCGACGGAUGGGCAGGUGCUGAUGCGGCUGAUGCCGGGCUCCGUGGCACCCAUCAUUCCCCAUGGCGCAGAGGUGGUGGGACUCACGAACAGCCUCUCUUCUCCCAUCGUUACGGCGACGCAGCUGGCACAACAGGCUGUCGCGGCCCCGGUGGACGACUCUCUGCAGGGCGGAAUCAAGCACGUGACAGCCUUCUACUGCAUCUCGUGCACGGACGACUGCAACCUGGACGGCAUCGACUACAUCACCAAAUCGGUGUGCCUCUCCGCAUAUCCGAUGACAGCGCACGUGCAAUGCGCACGGGUGUGCGAGGGACACACACGCGUGGAGCCGGCUAGCAGCGUCAGCGGUAGUGCCGCGGGUAUGGGGGCAGGCGGUGGGCAAGCGAAGACAGACCGCUGCAGCACACCGGAGCCGCCAAAAAGGCGCGGCGAGGUGUUUCCUGUCGACCAGGCUGAGGACAACGAGCUGUGAGGCGGCCACUGCAGUUGGCGAGAUGGCCGAGGGCUUGCGCGCCCCUUCCUUUGCUUUUGUCGUCUCCCCUAUACGCCGCUUUCGUCAAAGCCUGUGUGACUACACAGCCGGGCGCUGAGACAGUAGUUUCCCACGAUGUUGGGGGACGCUGGUGAGACCGGGAGGGGAAGGAGGAGGGAGGAGGGGCAAGGGGUGCCGCUGGCGGCUGUGCAGUUUUCAACAUAAACGGAAUAAAGCCUCCUGUUGCCUGGUGUAAGCGUGUUUGUGUGCGUGCGAGACUCGCGUGGGGUGCGGGCGUGCACACACGGUCAGGAAACGGAAAAGCCUCCUUCCAUCAUAAACGCAAACAACGAUACAGAGAGAGGCCCACCAAUAGAGGAGGGGAGACGUGAGCCCAACUCGGAAGUGGGGCAGCUCUCAGUUCUGCUUUGCAGUGCUGAGCUUCCCCACGAUGCCACGCACAUACGCGUUGCCGGACCUGUGCAGAUGUGCUCGAAGAAGAGAAAGAAAGAGGAGAGUGGGGAUGGGGCGCAGCAGGAGAGAAGCAAAGGACAGGGGGAGGUGAAUGGUGCCAAAAGCCCUUAAAUUCGUGUAUGCCGUGUGCGCCUCGCUCCCUCCCUUCUCUUUUUGCGCUCUCGCGAUCUUCGCCGCGUCGGUGCUUCUACCACUCUUUUCACAGAUUCGCUCGCAACUCGUACGGUACGUGUGUGCUUCUUCCCCCCCAUAUAAUUCCUCUUGUGUGUUGCAUGUAUGUUUCAUCCCCUUCGCACUCCUUUUCACCGUCCCAAUGUGAUGCACACACACACAUACAUGCACACACGCCUGCAUGUCACAG
rnacentral:misc_RNA from 1 species